rnacentral:rRNA from 1 species
UGGCGGCGUGCCUAACACAUGCAAGUCGAACGAGAAGGUGGAGCAAUCCAUGAGUACAGUGGCGACCGGGUGAGUAACACGUGACUACCUACCCUCGAGUGGGGAAUAACUCCGGGAAACCGGGGCUAAUACCGCAUAACAUCGAGAGAUCAAAGCAGCAAUGCGCUUGAGGAGGGGGUCGCGGCUGAUUAGCUAGUUGGUAGGGUAAUGGCCUACCAAGGCGAAGAUCGGUAUCCGGCCUGAGAGGGCGCACGGACACACUGGAACUGAAACACGGUCCAGACUCCUACGGGAGGCAGCAGUGGGGAAUUUUGCGCAAUGGGGGAAACCCUGACGCAGCAACGCCGCGUGGAGGAUGAAGUCCUUUGGGACGUAAACUCCUUUCGACCGGGACGAUUAUGACGGUACCGGUGGAAGAAGCCCCGGCUAACUUCGUGCCAGCAGCCGCGGUAAUACGAGGGGGGCGAGCGUUGUUCGGAAUUAUUGGGCGUAAAGGGCGCGUAGGCGGCGCGGUAAGUCACCUGUGAAACCUCCCGGCUCAACUGGGAGCCUGCAAGCGAAACUACCGUGCUGGAGUGUGGGAUGGGUGC